rnacentral:rRNA from 1 species
GACGAACGCUGGCGGCGUGCCUAACACAUGCAAGUCGAACGGAAAGGUCCUGCCUUUGUGGGCUGCUCGAGUGGCGACCGGGUGACCAACCCGUGAGUACCCUGUCCCUGCCUUUGGGGUAACUUCAGGCCACUUGGGCUCAUACCGCAUAGGAGCUCUUGCUGUUUGGUGGGGCUUGGUAAGAUUUGGCGGUUGGGGAUGUACUCGCGUCGGAUUAGCGAGUUGGGAGGGUAGUGGCCUACCAUGGCGAAGAUGCCUAGCUGGCCGGCGAGGAUGAUCAGCCACACUGGGACUGAGACAAGGCCCAGACUCCUGCGGGAGGCAGCAGUGGGGAAUAUUGGACAAUGGGCGAAAGCCUGAUCCAGCAAUGCCGCGUGAGUGAUGAAGGCCUGAGGGUUGUAAAGCUCUUUUACCCGGGAUGAUAAUGACAGUACCGGGAGAAUAAGCUCCGGCUAACUCCGUG